rnacentral:lncRNA from 1 species
UUGCACCAGAAAUUUUGAGUGGAGCAACGGUUUUCAAAAAAGGUUUUCAACCUAGUCAUUAAGGAUGGCUGGAUUUCGUCCACUUUCCUCUUUUUCACUUUUAUCUUCCAGCCAUCACCUAUAAACUUAAUGACUAGACUUGCAGCUGAUAGCUCCACUGAUUAUAGACUUGCUGUCUCGCCACUCGUGACGCCAUCAAGUCUAUAAAAGCUUGUGCUGCCCGUUUCUCAUGGUCCUUUACCAACUUGACCCGUACUAGCACGUAUGUGCCUUUUCUAGCCCUUCGGGCACAAGUGUGACUUCUCUUUGUAACUCCGUAAUGCUUCCAAAUCUCUAAUACAACCUUUCGGCUCAAACAACUAUCUUGUUCAAUUCUUGCUCUCCCACAAAUUCCACUAUUUCUAGUGCGCGUAUGAAGGAUAUUUAGGUGUUUCAGUCCGUCUAAACUCAACAAAAUUCAUCAUCGUGACAGUCACAUAGUCACGAUAGUCAGCUCAAGCUGAUUCAGUUCGUUCUUAAUUUUCAAUAUGGAUGACUUUUGCCUCUUUUUUUCAGCAAUAAUAAUAUUCCACUUAUAUAUUAUUUCCCAGGCACACGGAAUACUGGUGUCAAACGAAGAAGAGGCCGUGGGUGAUUCUACCCCAUAUUUACGCCCUCUCAAGGUUACUGGUGCAAAGGAGGAGCGUCCAGGAAUCCGUGAAUAUGGAAUCUUGAACACUGAAAGUUUUAUGAAUGCGGUAGGUUCGAGGUAUUUCGUUGACAGAACAAUGUUGAUUCGCCAAUUUUUCAAAUCCCGGGAAGAAGAACAUAUGGUCUUCCAUGGACCGAAGCGACUCGGUAAAACCGUUAACAUGGAUAUGAUUAGAGAGUUCGUUGAGUUAAAAACGGACGAGAAUGGCCACAUAGCCGACAGAAACAACCUUACGAAGCGCAAUGUGUUUGAAAAACUUGCCAUUGGGCAGGAUAAGGAAGUCUUCAGAGAGUACUUUGCUGCUUUUCCUGUAAUUCAUUUCGUAUUUAGUAUGGCUCCUGACUCAUACGAUGAUUUUUUAGGAGAAUUUGCGAUCGAAAUCAGAAAGGAAUAUGCAAGACAAGGAUACAUGCACUUUUUCAAUUACGGUGAAUACAGCUUACCUAAGCAAGCACACGCCGAUAAUCCUGAACUCGUGAGGAUAUUUAAGAAAUAUACGAUAGACCCACAAAAACUAUCCGAAUCGGAACUUUUAGACGCAGGACAUGAAUUGGCUAAUCUGCUUUACGCCGCAUUCAGAAGACCGGUCAUUUUACUCGUAGAUGAAUACGAUGUGCCGAUUAUUUACGCAUUAUUCAAUAAAAAAUUUCAGAAAACGAGAGUGACAAAAUCAUUACAUUUCUUACCAGAUUUUUAAAGCGUUUAGUAAAACCGAGUAAGAAGCUUGUCAAGCGCUCGCUGCUUACUGGCAUCACUAGAUUAGGAAGUACUUACACUCUAGAAAUCAACAAUUUACGGUUACAGCGAAUAUUUGACGAUCCGAAAAUUGCCCCGUAUUAUGGCUUUACACGGGAGGAAGUCAUAAACCUUACAAAAAAAUUUUCGG